UCCUAGUUCACUGUCACUCCCAGGCUUUACUGAGCCAGUGUUCAGGAUCUUUUCUGAGCUUUCCCCUCAUAUUUUCCUGCUGUCUUUCAUAGGCAAAUCAGCUCCCCACCAUCAGGCUCUAUCUAGGUGAUAAUAGGGCAUGGGUGGAUCAGAACAGUUCCUUCAUAAUCAGGCUUGGCUGGUUCCAGUCCUCCAGCACCUUGCAGGAUCAAGCGCUAAGUGAACACCUCAGGGGCAAUCACUUGAAACAAAAUUCCAUUGUGUUCCAGAUUACCAACACUUCUGUUGUUUUUUUCCACUUAAUUCUAUGUGAUUGGAUUCUGGUUUUACUUGCUUGAUCAAAUUGUCCCUGUUUGUGUGGUAAUGAAACAAUUUCAUACUUCGAACAAGAAAAGAAGAUAUGCUCUCAGUAAAGCUCCUCACUAAUCAGAGAAGUAGCUAUUUUCAGUAUCCUAGAAAAAUUAUUGUAGCCUAAAACUAGGAUGGAUAUUCAACAGCAUUAGGUACUGCCACAGGUGCUAACCAGAGCAAUUUAGUAAAAAAAAACAUGGAUCAUGAAGCAGUUAGAAAUUAUUAUCCUUAAUGACUUGAGAUGUGGUACAGAUGAAUGACUAAAUGUGAAAGAUGAAUUAGAGAAGAGACAAAUAGACAACGUCACUACAGUUUUUUGUAGCCUUUUUAAUGGAUUGCUGUCUCAUAGUGUCUUGCCUCAGAUGUAUGUCAAUGUCAUUUUAAAAUUAUGGACUACUUAUUCUGCACAAACCAAAUAAAUUAAAUCAAAAUAACUUAAAAUUAAAACCUUUUCUUGUAAUAUUUCACCUGAGACCCAGCCUUGCUUUAUGGUUGUUCCUAUUUUAAUGUACAAAUGCUAAAGGAAA